CCUACGGGGAGCUGCAGUGGGGAAUAUUGGACAAUGGGCGAAAGCCUGAUCCAGCCAUGCCGCGUGUGUGAAGAAGGCCUUCGGGUUGUAAAGCACUUUCAGUGGGGAAGAAAGCCUUGGGGCUAAUACCCUCGAGGAAGGACAUCACCCACAGAAGAAGCACCGGCUAACUCCGUGCCAGCAGCCGCGGUAAUACGGAGGGUGCGAGCGUUAAUCGGAAUUACUGGGCGUAAAGCGCGCGUAGGCGGUCUGAUAAGCCGGUUGUGAAAGCCCCGGGCUCAACCUGGGAACGGCAUCCGGAACUGUCAGGCUAGGGUGCAGGAGAGGAAGGUAGAAUUCCCGGUGGAGCGGUGAAAUGCGUAGAGAUCGGGAGGAAUACCAGUGGCGAAGGCGGCCUUCUGGACUGACACUGACGCUGAGGUGCGAAAGCGUGGGUAGCAAACAGGAUUAGAUACCCGAGUAGUC
rnacentral:rRNA from 1 species